UACAGAGGAUGCAAGCGUUAUCCGGAAUGAUUGGGCGUAAAGCGUCUGUAGGUGGCUUUUUAAGUCCGCCGUCAAAUCCCAGGGCUCAACUCUGGACAGGCGGUGGAAACUACCAAGCUGGAGUACGGUAGGGGCAGAGGGAAUUUCCGGUGGAGCGGUGAAAUGCGUAGAGAUCGGAAGGAACGCCGGUGGCGAAAGCGACGCGCUGGACCUCUUCUGACGCUGAGGCGCGAAAGCCAGGGGAGCAAACGGG
rnacentral:rRNA from 1 species